UGUCUUUACUUUUGUCUGACCAGCUUGGC
rnacentral:piRNA from 2 species